rnacentral:rRNA from 1 species
UGAGCAACCUGCCCUUGACUCUGGAAUAACAGCUGGAAACAGCUGCUAAUACCGGAUACGACCUCCGAUGGCAUCAUCUGGAGGUGGAAAGCUCCGACGGUCAAGGAUCGGCUCGCGGCCUAUCAGCUUGUUGGUGAGGUAACGGCUCACCAAGGCUUCGACGGGUAGCCGGCCUGAGAGGGCGACCGGCCACACUGGGACUGAGAUACGGCCCAGACCUCUACGGGA